CGCCGCCCUGAGGCUCACGCUCGUGCGGGUCAGUCGGUCGGCAGGGCCUGCGCGGGGCCCGGGCCCAUGGCGGCGUCGGCGGCUCUGUCUGCGGCGGCGGCUGCGGCGGCCCUGUCUGGCCUGGCGGUGCGGCUGUCGCGCUCAGCUGCGGCCCGAGGCUCGUACGGCGCCUUCUGCAAGGGGCUCACGCGCACGCUGCUCACCUUCUUCGACCUGGCCUGGCGGCUGCGCAUGAACUUCCCCUACUUCUACAUCGUGGCCUCGGUGAUGCUUAACGUCCGCCUGCAGGUGCGGAUCGAGUGAGCGGCGGCAGCGAAGGCCCGGCUGAAGGGGCGCCCGUGUCCCCGCCCGCCGCCGGCCGGGUCGCCGGCAUGAAGGGAAGCUGGGCCGCGGCGGGGGGCGGAGGCGGGGAAGCUCGGGCCCCUGGACUCUAGACCUACGCCGCCAGGGCACGACGGCCCAGCCCUGGCCCCGGCUGCGGUCUCAGCCUGGGGACCCUGGAUCACGCAGAAACGCACUGAAUGGGCCCCUGCCAUCGGGCUCCAGAAACUACCUGGGCUCGGCCGACCUGUUGCCUCAUAUUGGCCAAAGAGGGGGAAACCAGAAGGAGGGAAUUCUGCUGCGGCGACUUGACUUUCCAGGCCCCGAGCAGAAAGGCAUUGGCGUUUGUAGGCGGUGACCCGCCCCUUCUCUGGCCUUGCCAAGAGUCACAUCCCUGCCCAGGGGCACCUCUGGCCCUGGACCUGCUUGGGCAGAGGCAACGUGAAGGGCCUGAACAAGAGGAGAAGAAGGGCCUUCCUAGUAGAGGCACAGCAUGGACAAAGGCUCACAGGGGUGGGGGUGCCCAGUGAUCGAGUCCUGGCUUGGGAAGGAAGUUCUGAGUUUCCUGGGAACUGAAAUCUGCUAGCAGCACUGUGAGAGAGGUGUAUUUCCCCCUCCUAAUGACAGAGGAAACUGAGGCUUGGGGGAGGGGGGGAUUUGCCCUUGACAUGCAGAUAGGAGGAGGAGGAACUGCGUGUGCCCCUGGGCCUGCAGGCCCCCACACCCCUCCCCAGUCUUCUCCAAGACCUGGCAUGGUGGGAGGAGGGAGGGGGAAGUGGAGAGGGAAGCACAGGGCUCCUGAGGCACCAAGGGAGAGAGGGGCCCAGGGGUAGGGAGUCUAGGAAUGUCGCUUUCUUUGGAGCAGUACAAAAAGUCACAGGGAAGAUCAGGAGGACAGACAGCUGAGAUGGGAGACAGGAGAGAUGAGCCCCAGGACCCCUGGGGAACCAAGCUCUCCCCCACAUCCUAACCUCUCACCCCACCUGGAGCUUCACCAAGGGCUCCUCAGCAGUGAAGUGGCACAAGCCUCCCAGUUUGGUGGGCAAGUAGGGGUGAUCUUGGUGUUGUGGCUCCUGGAGACACGACAUAACCAGGAGGGUGAAGGGAUAAACCUGGGAUGGGUGGGGGCUGAGACCCAUGGCAUGACCCCAAUUCUCUCUCCUCAAGCUCGACCCCCCAUCCCCAGGAUCACACAGGAGAAUCUCAUCCUCACGGCUUGGAUUGGUCCUGGGGGCCCCCGGUUGUGCUGCUAACUGGUGUACAAUGGUCAGGAGCAGCCCAGAGGGGAGCCAGGAAGAGACCCUCACCCUUACCCUCUAUCCCCAUUUCCGCAUCUCUUGCACUGGUACCCCAAGGGCCACGUUCUCAGUUCCUGGGACUGAAAACUGCAGCAGUCUGGCCAGCUCCAGGGACAGAGUGGCCCAGCCACCUACCAUGUACCCUCCUCAGCUGCCCACUGGACUCAGGUCCUGAAUGAAGCUGUCCGUCUGCCUCACCCCAGAAGAGGCUGGACAGUGGCUGCCUUGUGCCCCCUGCAGUCUCCCACAGCCAGGGCCCGAUGGGGUGCCUCCUUGUCCCAAGUUUCUUGGGGACCCCUGACCCUGUUGGCCCCUCUCAUCCACCCCAACCCUGUCCACCCUGGACCACCUCUGGGGGCCUGUCAGCCUGCUGGUCCCCCCAACAGAUCUUUGGGGGCAGCGUCUAUGGGACAAGAGUGACACAGGGCUGGAGAAGAGAAGU
rnacentral:lncRNA from 1 species